rnacentral:rRNA from 1 species
GUGAGGAAUAUUGCGCAAUGGAGGCAACUCUGACGCAGCCAUGCCGCGUGCAGGAAGAAGGCGCUACGCGUUGUAAACUGCUUUUAACCGGGAAGAAACCCCAGGACGUGUCCUGGGUUGACGGUACCGGAGGAAUAAGCACCGGCUAACUUCGUCCCAGCAGCCGCGGUAAUACGAAUGGUGCAAGCGUUAUCCGGAUUCAUUGGGUUUAAUGGGUGCGUAGGCGGAGCGUUAAGCCAGUGGUGAAAUCAUGCAUCUUAAAUGUAGACUUGCCAUUGAUACUGGCGCUCUUGAGUGCGCUUGAAGUGGGAGGAAUGUGCCGUGUAGCGGUGAAAUGCUUAGAUAUGGCACAGAACACCAAUUGCGAAGGCAGCUCACUAAGGCGAUACUGACGCUGAGGCACGAAAGCGUGGGGAUCGAACAGGAUUAGAAACCCGUGUAGUCC